UCCUAAGAGACCGGCGACGGUGCCUUUCCGGAUGCGGAAGGGUUAAAAGGGAACGGGGUCGGACUGAAAACGUCCGGCAAGCCCCGGCUGCCCCCGCAACUGUAGGCGAUAGCGGCAUGUCUCGGUCGCGCUCCCCUGGGGUCUUUCCGCGAGGACUCCGGAUCAUUGUCUGGGGAGAGCGGGCCACUGACCGGAUCUCGGUCGGGAAGGCCGGAGGCAUGUGGCGAUCAUUCGCGAGCCAGGAAACCUGCCGUCAGCGUAGUUGCAUC
rnacentral:ncRNA from 2 species